UACGAAGGGGGCUAGCGUUGCUCGGAAUCACUGGGCGUAAAGGGUGCGUAGGCGGGUCUUUAAGUCAGGGGUGAAAUCCUGGAGCUCAACUCCAGAACUGCCUUUGAUACUGAAGAUCUUGAGUUCGGGAGAGGUGAGUGGAACUGCGAGUGUAGAGGUGAAAUUCGUAGAUAUUCGCAAGAACACCAGUGGCGAAGGCGGACUCACUGGCCCGAUACGUGAC
rnacentral:rRNA from 1 species